rnacentral:rRNA from 1 species
CUGACACAGAGAGGUAGUGACAAUAAAUAACAAUGACGGGCCUCUUCAGGUUUGUCACUUGGAAUGAGAGCAAUUUAAAUAAAUCAUCGAGUAACAAUUGGAGGGCAAGUCUGGUGCCAGCAGCCGCGGUAAUUCCAGCUCCAAUAGCGUAUACUAAUAUUGCUGCAGUUAAAAAGCUCGUAGUUGAAUUUCUGGUGACACGGUCUGGCCGGUUACUUAAUUGUGACUUGUGCCAUCGCCUUGUUGCCAUCUUUGGUUUAACCAAUCUGGCAUUAGGUUGUCGGGUUGGUGAUACCAAUCGUUUACUGUGAAGAAAUUAGAGUGUUCAAAGCAGGCUUAUGCCGUUGAAUAUUUUAGCAUGGAAUAAUAAGAUAGGACUUUGGUGCUAUUUUGUUGGUUUGCGCACUAGAGUAAUGAUUAAUAGGGACAGUUGGGGAUAUUUGUACUAGGGAAUUAGAGGUGAAAUUCUUGGAUUUCCUUAUGACAAACGACUGCGAAAGCUA